rnacentral:misc_RNA from 1 species
UUUGAUGUUUUCCUUAGCUUUAGAGGUCCUGAUACCCGAGAAAGUUUUACCAGCCAUCUUUAUAAAGCUUUGGUUUAUGAAAAUAUCAACACUUUAAUGGACAAAGAUCUUGAAAGAGGAAAAGAGAUAGAACCAUCCCUCUUAAAAGCGAUCGAAGAAUCUGAAAUUUCAGUGAUUGUUUUCUCAAAAGGUUAUGCUUCUUCUCCAUGGUGUUUGGAUCAACUCUUGAAGAUUCUUGAGUGCAGGAAAACAAUGGGGCGGUUAGUUUUGCCCAUUUUCUACCGAGUUGAUCCAUCUGAUAUUGAAGCACAGACUGGGAUCUUCGGAGAUGGAUUUCGGGUGAAUGAAGAACAGCACAAAGAGAGCAUGUACAAGGUGCAUAGGUGGAGAAGUGCUUUGAAAGAGGCAGCCUCGAUUUCCGGGUGGGAUUCGAAGGAAUACAGGCCUGAAUCCACGUUAGUUGAGGUAGUUGUUAAAGCUGUUUAAAGAAAAUUUAAGCGGAUUGUCCCGCAUGUCCUCAGUUGAUUCCGACGGCUUUGUUGGAAUUGAAUCAUCCAUUGAACAAAUUCAGUCUCUAUUAUGCACUGAAUCAGAAGAAGUUCGCUUUGUAGGAAUUUG